AUGGUGGCCACCGCCCAGAACGACGUCCUCAACGCUCUCUCUGAUGCUUGUUCCUGGAGUCUUGACAUUUGUCUCUUUCUGCUCCACAGUGGCCGGCACCGCAUCGCUUUCGUCGUGGACAUCCACCGUCACCUCCAUUUUACUCUCCUCACGGGUCACCUCCUCGUGCUCACGGUCAUGGACCGGGAUAUGCUGGUACGGCUCCACCCCGAAGACAAAAGCAUGUGCGAUGGCCGCGAUAGCCAUCUAAGAGAAAGCAAUUUCGCUUUACUGCAGCAACAGAAGACCAAGGAUGGCUCUCAAUCAAAUUCACAAGAUUUGCCUAUUUACCUCGAUACAAAUCAGAAAGUCUUGAAUCCCAUUUUGCACCUUGCCCUCCUUCGGCAGGAGCCCCGUAUGGCAGAUGAUUGUGAUUCCGAUUCCCUGCCACCAAGUGGCGAAUACAAUGGCCUUGAAACUUAUGAACUUGGCUAG
rnacentral:rRNA from 1 species